ensembl:lncRNA
CAACACAGCUGUUUAAAACCCCAGUGAAAGCUGGAAUACUGCACUGGAGAAUCAUGUAGUAUGAACAGAAUUCUGUGCCGAUGGACCCCCGAGUGCCAAAAACAAAAGUGAAGAAAAUGACUUGCUGACAGCAAUGCAAAGUUUCGAGUUCCUGUACCCAGGGCAGCUCGGGCCCAGCUUUCCCUUACCCAUAUCAGUUCCUCGGGUGAGGGUAGCUGAGGUCCAGCUGGUCCCUGCUUCUGUCUCCAGCCUAGCAGAGGCUCCGUUCAUCCCAGCA